CCUACGGGUGGCAGCAGUGAGGAAUAUUGGUCAAUGGGAGAGAUCCUGAACCAGCCAAGCCGCGUGAGGGAAGACGGUCCUAUGGUCUGUAAACCUCUUUUGUCGGGGAGCAAAACCCGGGUCGUGUCCCGCACUGCGUGUAUCCGAAGAAAAAGCAUCGGCUAACUCCGUGCCAGCCGACGCGGUAAUACGGGGGAUGCGAGCGUUAUCCGGAUUUAUUGGGUUUAAAGGGUGCGCAGGGGGAACGUUAAGUCAGCGGUAAAAUUGCGUGGCUCAACCCCGACGAGCCGUUGAAACUGGCAGACUUGAGUGGGCGAGAAGUACGCGGAAUGCGAGGUGUAGCGGUGAAAUGCAUAGAUAUCGCGCAGAACUCCGAGUGCGAAGGCAGCGUACCGGCGCCAAACUGACGCUGAGGCACGAAAGCGUGGGGAUCGAACAGGAUUAGAGACCCGGGUAGUC
rnacentral:rRNA from 1 species